CCUACGGGAGGCAGCAGUAGGGAAUAUUGCUCAAUGGGGGAAACCCUGAAGCAGCAACGCCGCGUGGAGGAUGAAGGUUUUCGGAUUGUAAACUCCUUUUGUUAGAGAAGAUAAUGACGGUAUCUAACGAAUAAGCACCGGCUAACUCCGUGCCAGCAGCCGCGGUAAUACGGAGGGUGCAAGCGUUACUCGGAAUCACUGGGCGUAAAGGGCGCGUAGGCGGGAUAGCAAGUCAGAUGUGAAAUCCUAUGGCUUAACCAUAGAACUGCAGUUGAAACUGUUAUUCUAGAGUAUGGGGGAGGUAGGUGGAAUUCGUGGUGUAGGGGUAAAAUCCGUAGAGAUCAAGAGGAAUACUGAUUGCGAAGGCGACCUGCUAGAACAUAACUGACGCUGAUGCGCGAAAGCGUGGGGAGCAAACAGGAUUAGAUACCCUAGUAGUC
rnacentral:rRNA from 1 species